AAAAACUCCGGUGGUAUGAGAUGGACCCGCGUCUGAUUAGCUAGUUGGUGAGGUAACGGCCCACCAAGGCGACGAUCAGUAGCCGGCCUGAGAGGGCGACCGGCCACAUUGGGACUGAGACACGGCCCAAACUCCUACGGGAGGCAGCAGUGGGGAAUAUUGCACAAUGGGGGAAACCCUGAUGCAGCGACGCCGCGUGAGUGAAGAAGUGUUUCGGUAUGUAAAGCUCUAUCAGCAGGGAAGAAGAAAGACGGUACCUGACUAAGAAGCCCCGGCUAACUACGUGCCAGCAGCCGCGGUAAUACGUAGGGGGCAAGCGUUAUCCGGAUUUACUGGGUGUAAAGGGAGCGUAGACGGCUGUGCAAGUCUGAAGUGAAAGCCCAGGGCUCAACCCUGGGACUGCUUUGGAAACUGUGGAGCUAGAGUGCUGGAGAGGUAAGUGGAAUUCCUAGUGUAGCGGUGAAAUGCGUAGAUAUUAGGAGGAACACCAGUGGCGAAGGCGGCUUACUGGACAGUAACUGACGUUGAGGCUCGAAAGCGUGGGGAGCAAACAGGAUUAGAUACCCUGGUAGUCCACGCGGUAAACGAUGAAUACUAGGUGUUGGAGAGCAAAGCUUUUCG
rnacentral:rRNA from 1 species